UGUUGGACGCAACGCAGGGAGUGACUGAAUAAUCUUUCUGGCAAACGCUGGAUAAGGUGAUGAGACACAGGUGGUGCUGCACCGAAAGGUGAAUCGACUUACCAGUCGGGUCUCAGGCAGAGAUGUAAAAUUUACUACUGUAGUAAUGCCCGUCUCUUGUUGGUACACAGAAACCCAACCUCCUCACACU
rnacentral:ncRNA from 1 species